AAAUAUGGUUACUUUUGGGGGUUAACGGCCUGAAGAAUCUGAAAAGAUCAUUGAGGAAAUAAGAAACAAAGAAUAUAUGGAGAUUGUUCCUUAUUGAUGAGGUAAUUAUGAAGAUUUACGGAAAUAUUUAUAUGCUUGCCUGAAAUCUUUUUUUUUUUCUUUUUUCUUAUGCAUAGUAUCAUGGCAUGAUAAACAGGUACACGUGGUUCCUGCUCAUAUGUUUCACAAAGUCAUUAGUAUCACUAAAUCUCACUGCAAACUUGGGUGAGAUAACUUUGAGUGAGAUAACUGUUAUAUUUGCAGCCACACUUGUGAGAGAGGACGAAAGAAUUACAAAUCUGAACUUCCUAAUUUGGUCAUUAUUUUGCAUGAUAGGUUGCAGUUUCUGUUUACGUUGUCUUGAUUAUUAAAAGAACUGAAAUAUCAUUAUCAAAAAAAUUUAAUUGCUCAAUUGUGGUCUUAUAUUUAAAUUUGUUCCUCAAGAUUGAAAAUGUAAUAUGAUUUGCCUCUAGUAUCGUCAAUUAACUUUCGACAUGUUUUUCACAAGUGAGACAGUGUGUUUUCACUAAUAAAGCUUUUACAAUACCAACCAUAUUAGGAUUAUAAACUACAUUAUUGAACACUGUAUGUUCAAUUUCAUGUUGUAUUUAGUGCUUAUUUGAUUCAUGUUUAUGUGCUUAUGCAGGUUCAUGUUAUUAUGGCAAAAUACUCAUCGUUGGUCUAUUUUCACUAAGUUAUCAUUUGGAGAUAGAUCUAGAUGCUUCAAUGAAGAGGAGGUCAAGAGGCAUUACUUGGCAUUUGAGCCACAUGUUUAUGUUUAUUUUUUAACAUUUAACUCCAAGUUAUAUAGUGUUUUCUUUUAAUAGGUUUGAG
rnacentral:lncRNA from 1 species